UAUCAGAUAUAGAAGGUGGUGAUGGACUGCAGCUCAGAAAGGAACAUACUCUCAAAAUAUUUGCUUAUAUCAAUUCCUGGACUCAGAGGCAAUGUCUGUGCUGCUUCAAGGAAUAUAAGCAUUUGGAGAUUUUUAACCAAGUAGUGUGUGCACUUAUUAACUUAGUGAUUGCCCAAGUUCAAGUGCUCCGGGACCAGCUUUGUAAACAUUGUACUACCGUUAACAUAGAUUCCACGUGGCAAGAUGAGAGUAAUCAAGCAGAAGAACCACUGAGUAUAGAUAGAGAAUGUAAUGAAGGAAAUGCAGAAAGACAAAAAUCAAUAGAAAAAAAAUCAAACUCUACAAGAAUUUGUAAUCUGUCUGAGGAAGAAUCUUCAAAGAGUUCUGAUCCUUUUAGUUUAUGGAGUACAGAUGAGAAGGAAAAACUAUUACUGUGUGUAGCAAAAAUUUUUCAAAUUCAGUUUCCCUUAUAUACUGCUUACAAGCAUAAUACUCAUCCUACUAUAGAGGAUAUAUCGACGCAAGAAAGUAACAUAUUAGGGGCAUUCUGUGAUAUGAAUGAUGUAGAAGUACCCUUGCAUUUGCUUCGUUAUGUCUGUCUGUUUUGUGGGAAAAAUGGCCUUUCUCUUAUGAAAGAUUGUUUUGAAUAUGGAACUCCUGAAACUUUGCCGUUUCUUAUAGCACAUGCAUUUAUUACAGUUGUUUCUAAUAUUAGGAUAUGGCUACAUAUCCCUGCUGUCAUGCAGCAUAUUAUACCUUUUAGAACGUAUGUUAUCAGGUAUUUAUGCAAGCUCUCUGAUCAGGAGUUACGACAGAGUGCAGCUCGUAACAUGGCUGACUUAAUGUGGAGUACAGUGAAAGAGCCAUUGGAUACAACACUAUGCUUUGAUAAAGAAAGCCUGGAUCUUGCUUUUAAGUACUUUAUGUCACCAACUUUGACCAUGAGGUUGGCUGGAUUGAGUCAGAUAACAAAUCAGCUUCAUACUUUCAAUGAUGUGUGCAAUAACGAAUCAUUGGUAUCAGACACAGAAACGUCCAUUGCAAAGGAACUUGCUGACUGGCUUAUUAGCAACAAUGUAGUGGAGCAUAUAUUUGGACCAAAUUUACAUAUUGAGAUUAUUAAGCAGUGCCAAGUGAUUUUGAAUUUCUUGGCAGCAGAAGGACGAUUGAGUACUCAGCAUAUUGACUGCAUUUGGGCUGCAGCACAGCUGAAGCACUGUAGUCGAUAUAUUCAUGACUUAUUUCCCUCACUCAUCAAGAAUCUGGAUCCUGUACCACUUAGACAUUUACUUAAUCUGGUCUCAGCUCUUGAGCCAAGUGUUCAUACUGAACAGACACUUUACUUGGCAUCCAUGUUAAUUAAAGCUUUGUGGAAUAAUGCACUUGCAGCUAAGGCCCAACUAUCUAAACAGAGUUCGUUUGCAUCUUUAUUAAACACUAAUGUGCCCAUUGGAAAUAAAAAAGGGUCUCCUGCAGCAAGUCCUCAAAGUAGUGACAACAGUGAUACACAUCAGAGUGGAGCCAGUGACAUUGAAAUGGAUGAGCAGCUUAUUAAUAGAACCAAACAUGUGCAGCAGCGACUCUCUGACACAGAGGAAUCCAUGCAAGGAAGUUCUGAUGAAACUGCUAACAGUGGUGAAGAUGGAAGCAGUGGUCCUGGUAGCAGUAGUGGGCACAGUGAUGGAUCUAGCAAUGAAGUCAAUUCAAGCCAUGCAAGCCAGUCAGCUGGCAGCCCUGGAAGUGAGGUGCAAUCAGAAGACAUUGCAGACAUUGAAGCCCUUAAAGAAGAAGAUGAUGAUGAUGAUCAUGGUCACAAUCCUCCCAAAAAUAGUUGUGGUACAGAACUUCGAAAUAGAAAGUUAGAAAAUCAAGCGGGCAUUUGCUUGGGGGAAUCCCAAGGCACAUCUGAAAGAAAUGGGACAAGCAGUGGAACAGGAAAGGACCUGGUUUUUAAUACUGAGUCAUUGCCAUCUGUAGAUAAUCGAAUACGAAUGCUAGAUGCCUGUGCUCACCCUGAAGACCCAGAGCAUGAUAUUUCAGCGGAAAUGAGUUCUGCUCACAUAGCACAAGGUUCUCAGGAGUCUUGUAUCACACGAAGCGGGGACUUCCUUGGGGAGACUAUUGGGAAUGAAUUGUUUAAUUGUCGGCAGUUUAUUGGUCCACAGCACCACCACCACCACCACCACCACCACCACCAUCACCACCACCACCACCACCACCACCACCACCAUCAUGAUGGACAUAUGGUUGAUGAUAUGCUAAGUGCAGAUGAUGUCAGUUGCAGUAGCUCGCAGGUCAGUGCAAAAUCAGAAAAAAAUAUGGCUGAUUUUGAUGGUGAAGAGUCUGGAUGUGAAGAGGAACUAGUUCAGAUAAAUUCACAUGCAGAACUAACAUCUCAUCUCCAACAACAUCUUCCCAAUUUAGCAUCUAUUUAUCAUGAACAUCUUAGUCAAGGACCCGCAGUCCAUAAGCAUCAGUUCAACAGUAAUGCUGUGACAGACAUUAAUUUGGAUAAUGUCUGCAAGAAAGGAAACACUUUAUUAUGGGAUAUAGUGCAAGAUGAUGAUGCAGUUAAUCUUUCUGAAGGAUUAAUAAAUGAGGCAGAGAAACUUCUUUGUUCCUUGGUUUGUUGGUUUACAGAUAGGCAGAUUCGAAUGAGAUUCAUUGAAGGCUGCCUUGAGAAUUUAGGAAACAACAGAUCAGUAGUGAUUUCUCUUCGUCUUCUUCCAAAACUGUUUGGUACUUUUCAGCAGUUUGGUAGCAGUUAUGAUACACAUUGGAUUACAAUGUGGGCAGAAAAAGAACUGAACAUGAUGAAGCUUUUCUUUGACAAUCUGGUGUAUUACAUUCAAGGUAUAAGAGAAGGAAGACAAAAGCAUGCGUUGUACAGCCAUAGUGCCGAAGUUCAAGUUCGACUUCAGUUCCUAACUUGUGUGUUUUCAACUCUGGGAUCACCUGAUCAUUUCAGGCUAAGUUUAGAGCAAGUCGACAUUUUAUGGCAUUGUUUAGUAGAAGAUUCUGAGUGCUAUGAUGAUGCACUUCAUUGGUUUUUAAAUCAAGUUCGAAGUAAAGAUCAACAUGCAAUGGGAAUGGAAACCUAUAAACAUCUUUUCCUGGAGAAGGUAAUUGUAUAUCUUAGAAGUUUAUUUGUAUAAUUUCCUAUAUGUAUUUUAGUGUCUUGAAGUAU
rnacentral:lncRNA from 1 species